GCGGCUCCCCCGUCUUCUGAUUGGUGGGAUAUGCCCUGCUUGCCUCUAUGCCUUUGGAUGGAGCCUGAGCCACACUUUAAAUCAGAAAUGACACAACUCUUGAAUGGGAUUGUCUUAAAAAGCAAUGAAAUGAAAGGAAUCUUAAUCUUCACCUCUCGACCGGAUCCAGGGUGCAUGACAAGGAAACUUUCCUUACACAGCUGGAACCCACACUGUAGAUCAGGUCAGUUUCUUUUUCCUUUGAAAAUAGAAGUCAGUAUUGGUGUCGCAAAGAGGGUUGUUGUCCUGGCCCACAGUGGCUGGAAUCCUGUUCAUGACAUACCGUAUAUACUCGAGUAUAAGCCGACCCAAAUAUAAGCCGAGCA
rnacentral:lncRNA from 11 species